GUCAACUCCUAUGGCCCUUAUAGGUGGGGCUACACACGUCAUACAAUGGCUGGUACAAAGGGUUGCCAACCCGCGAGGGGGAGCUAAUCCCAUAAAGCCAGUCGUAGUCCGGAUCGCAGUCUGCAACUCGACUGCGUGAAGUCGGAAUCGCUAGUAAUCGUGGAUCAGAAUGUCACGGUGAAUACGUUCCCGGGUCUUGUACACACCGCCCGUCACACCAUGGGAGCGGGUCUCGCCAGAAGUAGGUAGCCUAACCGCAAGGAGGGCGCUUACCACGGCGGGGUUCGUGACUGGGGUGAAGUCGUAACAAGGUAGCCGUAUCGGAAGGUGCGGUUGGAUCACUCNCCNUA
rnacentral:rRNA from 1 species